GUAGAUUUAUCAAAGUGCUGCUGUUUUUGGCGGAAACAGAAACCUCACCGACGUUUGGGGACUUUACGGUGCUGCUCCUCCUGCUCGUUAUGUCCUCGGAGGUUUUCAGCUGCGGACUGACUCGCCUUUGGAUCCACUUCAGCUCAGAGGAUAGAGCUGUCUGUUUCCAAGGAAGCACGUCACAGGUAGGUACUAAAAUCUUUGACUUCUGACUUCACAAAUGUUUUUAACUGUUUAGCUUUAUUAGCUAUGCCUGCAAAAAAUGUGUUAGCGGUCUAAAAAUUAUUGGACCUAAAUUUAGCGGAAGCUAAUUGGACCACUGAUGGUUUUCAAACUUAUCUGAAAUGCUAAUCCGAUAAUGAAAACAUUAUCUUUGAUAAUUAGCGGAUUAGCGGAACUGUGCCCACCACUGUAAAUAUGUAAGACGAUUACCAGCCACAAAAAGAAUACAACUGCUUGAAUUUAAAGGAAAUCGUGAUGACUCACUGCCCUCAGGUGGACUCGAAUAUUGUAAUUUUCUCCUAUACAUAUAUAAUUUCCUUGACUAUUCAUAAAUAUACAAAACACUACAUUAAGGAUUCCAGCAUGAAUAUGAAUAAUAAUAAUAAUGAUGAUGAUGAUGAUAACUCAAUGGUAAAACAACUAGUUUCUUAUUAAUUACAACAGGAAUGGUUUUACAGGUGGAGGCCACUGACAUUUUUUCCCCUCAUAUUUUCUGACUGAAUUUUCACUAGUUUGGUUGGGGUCAGUGUCACCACUGGUACCAUGGUGCGGUACCUGGACCCAACACAUACAUCAGUAUGUGUCUUUGCCAGAAGGUUAACUGUGUCUCCCAGCAGAAUCUUAAGAGCACAGAGGAGAUUCCUGGAGACACACAGUUACUCUAGGACAGCUGGAUGGGGCCUCAGAAGGUCCUUUGUGCAGGAGUAACAGGAUGAGCACUGCCAGAGUCCUACAAAAUGACCUCCAGCAGGCCACUGGUGUGAAUGUCUCUGACCAAACAAUCAGAAACAGACUUCAUGAGGGGGUCUGAGGACCUGACGUCCUGUAGUGGACCCUGUGCUCACUGACCGGCACAGUGAAGCUUGACUAAAAUUUACCAUAGAACACCAGAACUGGUUGGUCCACCACUGUGCUUUUCUCAGAUGAGAGCAGGUUCAACCUGAGCACAUGUGACAGACAUGAAAGUGGAGAAUGUUAUGCUGCCCGCAACAUCACUCAGCACGACCAGAUUUUUGGGUCAGUGAUGGUCUGGUGAGACAUCUCCCUGGAAGGACACACAGACAUCUAUAGAUGUCAUUAUGGUCUCUGACCAAACAAGUCUCUGACCAAACAAGACACACAGACAUGUCUGUGUGUCUUGUUUGGUCAGAGACGUUUAGCCUGUGUACAGGCUAAACAACAGCACCCUGACUGAUAUCAGGUAUCAGGAUGAAGUCUUUGGACUCACUGUCUGAGAAUCGAUUGCCUCCUCCAUAGCUCUGAAACACAAAUCUGAAUUUGAUGACUUCAUGGCCUCCUUCAGAGUUUGGUGUAUGUCAUAACUUCUCCUUUCUCUUCUUGGAUAACGUGGAUUGUGUCGUCUCUCACCCUCCUCUGUAGUUGUAUCUGUGUCAUUUAUCUCUGCUUUAAACUCCUGUCUGAUUGGUUUAAUAAUGUCAGUUUUUGGUAGGUGGCUUUCAUUCUUAUCCUUGUGUCAUGACGGGCGGCUGCCCGACACCAGGAGCGGGUGGAUCCACAAUACAAACUCCCAAACCAGGCUUUGAGGUAUAAGUCGUUGUGUUUAUUUCGGGCAGAGCUUCGGUACACAGGUUGUCAGAAAACGGAGCAGAGGCACAAACAGGGUGAGGCAAAAUGCAGUCAUCAACCAGGCAGGGGUCUGAGGCACGGGCAAACACUGGCAUAUAGGCUGAGGCAAAAAGGCGCGGUCAGAAAACACAGAGCAAGGAACUGGUACACGGCAAGACUAAUCAGGACAAAGAACAAAAAGGCUGGAGAGUGUGCUGGAAGCGACAACAAUCUGGCAAGGGACUGUGAGGGUUUAUAUGAAAGUGGACUAAUGAGGGACAGGUGGUGAUAACAAGGUGCACGUGAGGAACAAUCUAGAAGGGGGCGUGGUAUAACAGAUAGUUGAUACAGUUUAUUUCACAAGAAGCAGAAACUUAACUCAGACUACUUUUGAUUACAUUGAAUAUCAUGUAAGCAGGCAAUGAUUAAUUAAAUAAAUAACAACUCAUAAAAUCUUCAUCAUUUCCCUCCUCUUUUAACGUUUAUUUGUAGUUAGCUAGUGUAAAAAUAAAUGUAUUUACAGUGUAUGACAAUAAUUCAGCAUAAUUUCACUCAUCCAUCAUGAGCACUUGUUUACACAUUUUCACUCAUAACUUCAUUACUUUACACUUUCAAUUAUCAUCAUAAGUGUCUUGUCCUUAGUCCACAUUAUCACGUCCUUCCUGGGGCUCCUCGAGGUUCAAAAGUGUAUAGGUUGGUGUGUGAGCCAAUUGUAAUUGCACAAACAGCUUGGUUGCCAGCCUGGUAACCAUUGCCUUAAUACAGGGUAUGGCACAGCAGGAGAAAACAAUCAAAACUCCAAUCAAAAUCAGAACCGGUGUAAAGAAUUUUAGCAAUAUUUGCCACCAGGAGCCGGAGGUAAACCACCCCCACAGGCUCCAUCGUGCUGCUGUUUCCUGAAACUCGGUGGUCAUGGUAGUUUACAUUUUUUCCAGGACCCUCAUCGCCUGUUGUGCCGAAUCAGAAUUUAUCUCAUCAGAUAUAUAUGUACAGCACGUGGCAUUUAUCAUUCCACAUACUCCGCCUUGUGCCGCUGUUAACAAAUCUAACACUAAUCGAUUUUGGAGGACCAUCGUAUGGAUUUCGGUCAACAUUUUGUUUUGGGCUUUGUUGACUACGAGAGACGCGUUUAGGAAUACAGCCAGUCGAUAAUUUACUGUUUCUAAUCAAAACUGUAAGUUUGGAAUACCCAACCAGGGCAACACGGACAGACCACCCCUCUCCCAAUCUUUCCAGAUCUUAAACUCCUCGGGCACAUCAUCGCUCUGCCAGAUGUGUUUUACCUGGUGAAUCUCCAUGUCGUCGAAAUUCCGCCUCACCCUGUCUGGCCUUUUGGGCUCGGCCGCGACGACAAAGGUGUGAUCUGACACCUGGGUAGGGGCGCAAAUUCCAUCCCAUCCCGGUGGGAGAUUCAGGUACAAGCGUGUACCACAAACCCAGAACACGUCAUCCACUGGCCAUGUUCCGUUCCGGGCUGGUAACCAUAAUUUUGCUAUCCUGAAGCAAUUGUGAUCUGUUGGACAGGAGGGUCUGUCCUGAGCCCACUUUCCACAAUAUAGGGUUUCAGAUUUGGUUGUGUUAACUUGAAUACACUCUCCAACAUUUAGGCGAGUCUCUACACAUCGCUUAGCAGUCAACCGUCCCACUGAUACAUUCCCUUCCUGAUAAUAACAAAUUGGAAAUUUAAUUCCGUGGGGUAUUAUAACAGUUUUGGCCACAAGUGCAGAUGCCUUAAUCCUAGUCAAGGUUACUAAUUGACUACACGGGUCCUAAAUUUUCCCCCAGUGAGAUCCAUUCCAUCCGCUGUAUGCUUUGUACAUAUAUGUUAAAGAUUUUGUAUAUACGUUAUCACUGUUAAACAUUUGUACCUUUGUCUUUGUUCUUUAUUUGUGCAGGCCUGUUGUGUGGUAUUUGUUACACAGGUUAUUUUGACUGUUGUGACUUUAUGACCUUAUGCUGUGCGAGUGCUUAGUGUGCAAAACAGGAACUCUCCAAGCAGA